rnacentral:rRNA from 1 species
UACGUAGGUGGCAAGCGUUGUCCGGAUUUAUUGGGUUUAAAGGGUGCGUAGGCGGUUUUUUAAGUCAGUGGUGAAAUACGGCAGCUCAACUGUCGAGGUGCCAUUGAUACUGGGAACUUAGUACUGAUGAGGUAGGCGGAAUGGACGGUGUAGCGGUGAAAUGCUUAGAUAUCGUCCAGAACACCGAUAGCGAAGGCAGCUUACUAAGGAGUAACUGACGCUGAGGCACGAAAAGUGUGGGGAUCAAACAGG